rnacentral:lncRNA from 1 species
AUAUUAAAGAUGUUAUAUGACCCUAAUUCAAGUGUGAGAGAAGCCGCUAUUUUGUGCAUCGAGGUUGUGAAGUACAUUUGAGUUCGUUUGCUUGAAGCCUGGAACUUAUGGGCAGGAGAUGUAUGCUCAAAUUGGGCCUCAGUUCUACGAAGAACUCAUGCGCCAUCAGCUUCCAUCAUCAAUGAUUUGGUGAACAAUCUUGGUACAUUGCAAGAAGCAAAGAGUUGUUGGUGCUGAUGUUAGCAUGGUUGGAUACAUUAGUGUUGGUUUGUACUGUGCUUAUUUGGUUUCGUUGCUGACAAGGUAGAAUAUUUUAAAGAACGCAUGCCUAAAGAUCUAAUAAAGAAGGAUUAGUUCAUCAAAAUGACCGGAAUGGCCUUCCAACACACGACUCUUGGGGAGAGGACAUUUGGUGUUUUGACAAAGAUUAAUCUUAUGAACAAGGGGACUGGUGCAGUUUAUGCAUGCUGUUCUCAACCAUUCACACACUCUGAGCCUCAUUUAAUGUUCAUGUUUCUUAACCGGUUGCAAAGGAGGGUGAUGAGAAAUGGAAGCCUAUGAAUGAUGAAGCCACUCUAAUAAGGGUUCAUGUUGUUCAAAACUUCAAUCCAAUUGAGGCAAUCCAUGAAUCAUUAUAAGCUGGGCUGAAACUUGCUCGAUAAGAGGGGCCAAUGUGAAAUUAUGGGUUGCCGGUGAUUUUUAGGAUGACAAUGAUGGUC